CCUACGGGGAGCAGCAGUGGGGAAUAUUGCACAAUGGGGGAAACCCUGAUGCAGCGACGCCGCGUGAGUGAAGAAGUAUUUCGGUACGUAAAGCUCUAUCAGCAGGGAAGAAAAUGACGGUACCUGACUAAGAAGCCCCGGCUAACUACGUGCCAGCAGCCGCGGUAAUACGUAGGGGGCAAGCGUUAUCCGGAUUUACUGGGUGUAAAGGGAGCGUAGACGGCAGCGCAAGUCUGGAGUGAAAUCCCAUGGCUUAACCAUGGAACUGCUUUGGAAACUGUGCAGCUAGAGUGCAGGAGAGGUAAGCGGAAUUCCUAGUGUAGCGGUGAAAUGCGUAGAGAUUAGGAGGAACACCAGUGGCGAAGGCGGCUUACUGGACUGUAACUGACGUUGAGGCUCGAAAGCGUGGGGAGCAAACAGGAUUAGAUACCCCAGUAGUC
rnacentral:rRNA from 1 species